ensembl:lncRNA
AUGCAGGGCACCAUGUCCCUCGGUCCACACCAACAUGCGGGGCACCAUGUCCCUCAGUCCAUACCAACACACAGGGUACCACAUCACUCAGUCCACUCUGAUACGCAGGGCACCGCGUCCCUCACCUCAGUCCACACCGACACGGAGGGUACCACGUCCCUCAGUCUACACCGACACACAGGGUACCACGUCCCUCAGUCCACUCUGAUACGCAGGGGACCACGUCCCUCAGUCCACACCGACACGCAGGGCACCACGUCCCUCAGUCCACACCAACACGCAGGGUACCACGUCCCUCAGUCCACACCAACACGCAGGGUACCACGUCCCUCAGUCCACACCAACACGCAGGGUACCACGUCCCUCAGUCCACACCGACACGCAGGGCACCGCACCACUCAUUCACUCCAGACCUACACAGAGGACACCAUGUCACUCAUUCUGUGGGACCCACAUGGAGGACACCGCGUCAUUCAUUCAGUGAGACCCACACAGAAAACACAUCAUUCAUUCAGUGCAGACUAACACAGAGAGAACAGCGCAUCAUCAGUCCAGACCAGCCCACGUGGAGACACCACUCACCACACCAUUUCAUCCAGACCAACACAAAGCUGCCACGGACUUAGUGCCAGCAGACAGGCACGUGAACGUGGCUGGGGAAGUUGAAUUACACAGUAAAAAUGUUAAGCGCGGUGGUGUAGUAGGCUGAGACUGAGACGCCGGCAUCCCAUAUGGGCACUGGUUCAAGUCCCAGCUGUUCCUCUUCCGAUCCAGCUCUGGCCUGGGAAAGCAGUGGAUGAUGGCCCAAGGACUGGGCCCCUGCACCCAUGUGGGAGACACAGAGGAAGCUCCUGGCUCCAGAUCAGCCCAGCUCUGCUGCGGCCAUCUGGGGAGUGCAGCGGCGGAUGGGGGAUCCUUCCCUCUGUCUCUCCCUCUCUGUUUGAAACUCUACAUUUUUUAAAAAGAAAUGUUAAGGAGAGAGAUGGGAGAUGUUUUAUAAAGUCCCCAAUUUUUACAGGUGUAAACUUCAACACCUGAGCUGAGAACCCGAGGAGACUGGCAGCGUGGAACAGCAACAGGGAACCUGACUUCAGAAACAGAAACUGGCCCCAGUGGAACGCCAAGGAUGAUGAGAAAUCAGAAAACCAGAGCCCUGACCCGACCCCUGCACACACCCCCAAUUCUCCAAACUGGAUGGAAAUCAUAAGCCUGCAGCCCUGAAGUUAAACUAAAAUCAUGCGCAAGAAAGCAAAGCAAAGCACGGCCCAGAGUAUCACUCAAAUGGCUCCGAACGAGCGGCCAACGUGAGGGCCCCACGGAGGGGCGGAGACAGGCGCGGCCAGCCCAGCAACGCUCAGCAGUGAGGGCCGAGGAAGGAGCCCCCGAGGGCGGCCACUCGCAGAGCGGCGCACCAGUGUCCAAGUCCCCCAGCAAAGGAAGGGCGUGGCACCCACACGCACACACAGCGCCAGCGAGAAUGAAGAAUUACGCUGCCCAUUCAUCUCGGAACAGCUGACUUCACACAGAUAACAGAUAGAGCACGGGAUUUGCAACACAUGUAAAAUUCAAACGAACGGCAGCAGACAGGGAGAAACGGGAGCGGUCGCCGCAAACUCCUGCUCCGGGACCCGCGACUGGCCCAGCAGCUCCACCGCCUGCUAGCGCGCCUGCGCUCCACGUCAGAACCCCGGGUCCAAUCCCGAGCUCCAGCUCCUGGUCCAGCUUCCCACCCACACACUGAAGGCAGCGGUGACGGCUCACGAAGCGGAGUCCCUGCCCCCCAAGCGGCCCUGGACCCCACCUCGGCCCUGCUCCGUGCUGGCUGCUAAACCUGCAGAAGGCAGUGCACUGGCUCUCAGUCUCUCAAAUAAAACUUGCUACUAAGUUACA